UACAGAGGGUGCGAGCGUUGUCCGGAAUCACUGGGCGUAAAGGGCGCGUAGGUGGCGACCCAAGUCGAUGGUGAAAGCUCGCCGCUCAACGGCGAGUCGGCCACCGAUACUGGGUUGCUGGAGCACUGUAGAGGCAGAUGGAAUUCCGGGUGUAGCGGUGGAAUGCGUAGAGAUCCGGAAGAACACCGGUGGCGAAGGCGGUCUGCUGGGGCAGUUGCUG
rnacentral:rRNA from 1 species